GGUAUUGAAAUAAGAUUUUAAAUGAGUGCUAAGAGAAUGAUUAAACAAUUAAAAGCUUUCUUUAAUUAAAAAAUUAAAUUUAAUUUUUUUAGUGCAAAAGCAAAAAUAAAAUUUAGGGACAAGAAGACCCUAUGAAUUUUUAUUGUUAAUAAUUAAUAUUUAAGUUAUUAAUAAUUUAAUUGGGGCGAUAAAAAAAGAAUAAGUAUCUUUUUAGUUAUAAAAUAAGUUCCGUUUUUAGCGAUUAAAUGAAAUAAAUACUCUAGGGAUAACAGCGUAAUAAUUUUGGAUAGUUCAUAUAGAUAAAAUAGUUUGCGACCUCGAUGUUGGAUUAGGAUUCU
rnacentral:rRNA from 1 species